ACUCCGGCCGAACGUGACGGUUGCCCCGUGCAGGGUGAAAAGCCCGGGGAUGAAAAGGGAAUCCGGAAUGGACCGACCCGGUGGGGGUCCGGCGCCGGAGCUGCCCCCGCAACUGUGAGCGGCGAGCCGCUUCCGAACAUGCCACUGGCGCUCACCCGCGCCGGGAAGGCCGGAAGGCGGCGACGACCCGCGAGCCAGGAGACCUGCCGUCGCGACGUCACUCAU
rnacentral:ncRNA from 2 species